GACCUAGUGGUGUACGGUGCACACUCGCGAUUUGUACGUUAGCUAUAUAUGUACGCGUUCUCGCGGGAGGACCUGGUUCGACUCCAGGCUAGGCCG